rnacentral:rRNA from 1 species
UACAUAGGAGCCAAGCGUUGUCCGGAUUGACUGGGCGUAAAGCGCACGCAGGCGGUCGGGCGCGUGGGGUGUGAAAUCUGGCCGCUUAACGGCCAGGCGCCAUCCCAUACGGCUCGACUGGAGUGAUGCAGAGGUCGAUGGAAUUGCCGGUGUAGUGGUGAAAUGCGUAGAGAUCGGUAGGAACACCCAGGGGGAAACCAGUCGACUGGGCAUCUACUGACGCUGAGGUGCGAGAGCGUGGGGAGCGAAACGG